rnacentral:rRNA from 1 species
UUCCGGUUGAUCCUGCCGGAGGACAUUGCUAUUGGGAUUCGAUUUAGCCAUGCUAGUCGCACGAACUUAGAAUUCGUGGCAGAAUAGCUCAGUAACACGUGGCCAAACUACCCUUCGGAACACAAUACCCUCGGGAAACUGAGGCUAAUAGUGUAUACCACAAUCCACCUGGAAUGAGGAUUGUGUCAAACGCUCCGGCGCCGAAGGAUGUGGCUGCGGCCGAUUAGGUAGACGGUGGGGUAACGGCCCACCGUGCCAAUAAUCGGUACGGGUCAUGAGAGUGAGAACCCGGAGACGGAAUCUGAGACAAGAUUCCGGGCCCUACGGGGCGCAGCAGGCGCGAAACCUUUACACUGCACGCCAGUGCGAUAAGGGAAUCCCAAGUGCGUAGGCAUAGAGCCUACGCUUUUUGUCCACCGUAGGGAGGUGGACGAAUAAGGGCUGGGCAAGACCGGUGCCAGCCGCCCGCGGUAAUACCGGCAGCCCGAGUGAUGGCCGAUCUUAUUGGGCCUAAAGCGUCUCGUAGCUGGCCGCACAAGUCCAUCGGAAAAUCCACCCGCUCAACGGGUGGGCGUCCGGUGGAAACUGUGUGGCUUGGGACCGGAAGGCGCGACGGGUACGUCCGGGGUAGGAGUGAAAUCCCGUAAUCCUGGACGGACCGCCGAUGGCGAAAGCACGUCGCGAGGACGGAUCCGACAGUGAGGGACGAAAGCCAGGGUCUCGAACCGGAUUAGAUACCCGGGUAGUCCUGGCCGUAAACAAUGUCUGUUAGGUGUGGCUCCCACUACGAGUGGGUGCUGUGCCGUAGGGAAGCCGCUAAACAGACCGCCUGGGAAGUACGUCCGCAAGGAUGAAACUUAAAGGAAUUGGCGGGGGAGCAC